CGACCGCGACCCCAGGUCUGGCGGGAUCACCCGCUGAGUUUAA
rnacentral:rRNA from 1 species